UACAGAGGGUGCAAGCGUUAAUCGGAAUUACUGGGCGUAAAGCGUGCGUAGACGGUUAUGUAAGUCAGAUGUGAAAUCCCUCGGCUCAACCAAGGAAGUGCAUCCGAAACUGCUGAGCUUGAGUACUUAAGAGGAUCGCGGAAUUCCCGGUGUAGAGGUGAAAUUCGUAGAUAUCGGGAGGAACACCAGUGGCGAAGGCGGCGAUCUGGGAAGAUACUGACGCUGAGGUGCGAAAGCGUGGGGAGCAAACAGG
rnacentral:rRNA from 1 species